UACGGGGGGGGCAAGCGUUGUUCGGAAUUAUUGGGCGUAAAGGGCGCGUAGGCGGCUCGAUAAGUCAAAGGUGAAAUCCCUCGGCUCAACUGAGGAACUGCCUUUGAAACUGUCGAGCUUGAGUCCGGGAGGGGGUAGCGGAAUUCCCAGUGUAGCGGUGAAAUGCGUAGAUAUUGGGAGGAACACCAGUGGCGAAGGCGGCUACCUGGACCGGAACUGACGCUGAGGCGCGAAAGCGUGGGUAGCAAACAGG
rnacentral:rRNA from 1 species